UGCUCGUUGGCAGCUCCAGGACGCUGAAUGCUUACAGGAGUCCUGAUGUCCGACGGCCUGCAUAACCAAUCUGGGAAUGAUGCAGGGAAUUCGAGGGAGCAGCUCCCAAGCGUUUCAUUCCUGUCAACAACAUGAAGGGCAAUUUACUCUAAGGCUGCCUGUUUUCUGUGUUGUAUCAGGUGCUGGAUUGGUGUCAGCGUCGCUUGCGGGUGAAUAUAGCGUUGAUGGACGGCGGUGAAACCCUCUAUCAUUUUUUACACAUCACUUUAACAACUGAAGGCAUGCUCUUUCACUGCCACACAGGAGACAUGGCAGAGAAUAGAAAGAAAGAGAAAGAAGGGAAAGAGCUUUCAAAAGAGAAAUGGGAUCCCUGCGCUUGACAAAGGGAGUUCGCUUAAAGGUAUCAUUAUUCCU
ensembl:lncRNA